rnacentral:rRNA from 1 species
GACGAACGCUGGCGGCGUGCUUAACACAUGCAAGUCGAACGGUAAGGCCCUUCGGGGUACACGAGUGGCGAACGGGUGAGUAACACGUGGGUGAUCUGCCCUGCACUUCGGGAUAAGCCUGGGUAACUGGGUCUAAUACCGGAUAGGACCACUGCCUGCAUGGGUGGUGGUGGAAAGCUUUUGCGGUGUGGGAUGGGCCCGCGGCCUAUCAGCUUGUUGGUGGGGUGAUGGCCUACCAAGGCGACGACGGGUAGCCGGCCUGAGAGGGUGACCGGCCACACUGGGACUGAGACACGGCCCAGACUCCUACGGGAGGCAGCAGUGGGGAAUACUGCACAAUGGGCGCAAGCCUGAUGCAGCGACGCCGCGUGAGGGAUGACGGCCUUCGGGUUGUAAACCUCUUUCAGCUAUGACGAAGCGCAAGUGACGGUAGUAGCAGAAGAAGGACCGGCCAACUACGUGCCAGCCGCCGCGGUAA